AAAGUCGUAACAAGGUUUCCGUAGGUGAACCUGCGGAAGGAUCAUUAUUGAUAAAACUUUUUUUUAAGUUUCUUCAUAUUCCCUGUUUAUAUUAAAUACGUUCCUUCCAUCGGACAGGUCUUCAGGACCCUUCAGCUUGGGCAAAUGCACUUGCUGGGGAGCUGCCGGUGGCAUUUCUAACCGAAAAAGAAAACUUGUCAUCAUACACUGUCUGAUUUACUUUUGAAACUAAAUAAAACUUUCAACAACGGAUCUCUAGGCUCUU
rnacentral:misc_RNA from 1 species